AUAAAUAUAAAACUGAGAAAAUGUUUCUCAGGAGCAAAUUAAAGUAAAUGGUCAGGUGAAAGCCCUAACUGAGGAAGGAAAGGGUAGAUUUGUAAUGGGUGAUGGAUUGGUGGCUAGUACAGCUUGUAAAAGUGAACCUGAAAUAGGUAACUGUGAUUUGCUGAAAGUAGCUCAGUGUAGUGAAAAAAGCAGCAGUUUAUCUGUUGGGAGUGGCAAUGUGCCUGGUAGGGAAAGUCUGAAUGAGCCUAGCCAGCCUUGUGAGCUGAUGGCUUUGUCUAGUCAGCAGUUUGGGAAAACAAGGAUAGUGGAAGA